rnacentral:snRNA from 1 species
UCAACUUCUUCACCAACAUU